rnacentral:rRNA from 1 species
UACAGAGGGGGGCAAGCGUUGUUCGGAAUUACUGGGCGUAAAGGGCUCGUAGGCGGCCAACUAAGUCGGAUGUGAAAUCCCCAGGCUUAACCUGGGAACUGCAUCCGAUACUGGAUGGCUUGAAUCCGGGAGAGGGAUGCGGAAUUCCAGGUGUAGCGGUGAAAUGCGUAGAGAUGGGGGAGAACACUCGUGGCGAAGGCGGCCAGCUAGACCAGUUCUGACACUGAGGCGCGACAGCGUGGGGGAGCAAACAGG